rnacentral:tRNA from 1 species
GGGGCUGUAGCUCAGUAGUAGAGUGCCUGCCUAGCAUGCAUGAGGCACUGGGUUCGAUCCUCAGCACCACA